UGCCUUGGUAGCUAUACUAUAAGUGGAAGGCUUUUAACCUCUCCGAAGCAUUUGAUUGUCCAAGGUAU
rnacentral:tRNA from 1 species